AUACGUAGGGGGCGAGCGUUGUUCGGAAUCAUUGGGCGUAAAGGGCGUGCAGGCGGUCCUGCAAGUCCGGCGUGAAAGACCCCGGCCCAACCGGGGGGACGCGCUGGAAACUGCAGGGCUUGAGUACAGGAGGGGAUGCCGGAAUUCCAGGUGUAGGGGUGAAAUCUGUAGAUAUCUGGAAGAACACCAAUGGCGAAGGCAGGCAUCUGGCCAUGUACUGACGCUGAGACGCGAAGGUGCGGGGAGCAAACAGGUUUAGAUACCCUGGUAGUCCGCACAGUAAACGAUGUGCACCAGGUGGCGGGGGGUCGACCCCCGGUACCGUAGCUAACGCAUUAAGUGCACCGCCUGGGGAGUAUGCUCGCAAGGGUGAAACUCAAAGGAAUUGACGGGG
rnacentral:rRNA from 1 species